CUCUCUCUCUCUCUUUUUUUUUUCCUGGGUAAUUUUCAGCUCUGACCCUUCCCCCAAGUGCCACAGUUGAGGUAGUACUGAUUUGGAGACCUCCUACAGGCUGGUGACAAAUGUCACCUAAAGUCCCAGGACUUCAGUAUAGGUACUCCCAAAUGGGUACUAAGGCACUGUGGGGACGGGGCCACCAACAGGUGCCAGUUGGCCUGAGCAAAGGGGAUGACAUCAUCUCUCUUGAAGAACACAACUCCCAACCAAUAAAUGAAGCCCGCACAGGCAAGACCUGACAUCGGUGGAUGUGACCCAUUGAUGUCACCAAGCCUGGAGGAAAUCCCACUGGGAGAUGGAAGCAGAGCUCAAACCCUUGAACCUUUUCACAGUUCCUCCAGCUGCUGUGAUUCAAAGGGACGUCAGGGGUCCGAGUUCCCUGGAGGUUUAGCCAGGGAGCAGGGGAAGCCCGUGAAGGAGAUGACCGAGAUGACCGGUCCCUCCCACUUGGACAAGCAAUGCGCCACCCAUCGCGCUGAAGACGAAGCACGGUGGAGGCCGGAGGGCGCAGAGGCCGGUGCAACACACCUGCGCUUACCUUUUCCCAGCGGUCGUCAGACAGCAGACGGAGGACACACUGCCCACCACAGCGGGAACUGUGCAUCAGGUACCGAGGGGACAGCUAGCGGCAGGUUCGCAGCGGCCAUUGGCUGGGGCCCUGCGGUUCAUAAAAUGCUGGAAUCGAUUCCUGAACCGCACUGAUCCCCGUUUCUCCCAGUGGGACUGGAGCUGAACCUGGGGGUGCGGCCCUCACCCACUUGGGCUGCUCUGGAGCCUCCUGCGGGCCCCGCUGAGCCGCUGGGCCCCCAGUGGACCACACGUCAGGACAGGGCAGGGGCCAGACCUGUCAGCUGGGGACAGGUGGGUGGCCGCUUAAAAGGCCCCCAGUGCCACCUGCCUCCCCCAGACCCUAUUUUUACAUAAAGUCACCAUCUCAGGUUUGAGGUCCUCUAUGUAUUUCAAGGGGCAACAUUAAAAUCUGGACCUGGCUGAGUCGGGACGUGGUGGAGAACCGCGAUUAGAGUCGGGAGGCAGAACUGCCUUUCCGCUCAGUAAUAAGCUGCGCCCCAACUUACACCCCCUGCCUCACAGGAGUCCACCCACCUUACAUCCUGGGAUAAACAUGACGCUUUAGGGACUUGGCAGAAAAUUACGGUAGUGACUAUGUCCGCUACGUUCUAAGAAAGUCAGUCGGGUACGAUGGACGAGAGAAAGGAAUGUGCCCAAAUACCCAAGACCAUGGAAGGACAAUCGUGCAAUGACCAAGCAAGGGACAGCUGGGAAGGUAAGUGGACUGCACUCCCUGAAG
rnacentral:lncRNA from 1 species